AGUGAACGCUGGCGGUAGGCCUAACACAUGCAAGUCGAACGGCAGCACAGUAAGAGCUUGCUCUUACGGGUGGCGAGUGGCGGACGGGUGAGGAAUACAUCGGAAUCUACUUUUUCGUGGGAGAUAACGUAGGGAAACUUACGCUAAUACCGCAUACGACCUACGGGUGAAAGCAGGGGAUCUUCGGACCUUGCGCGAUUGAAUGAGCCGAUGUCGGAUUAGCUAGUUGGCGGGGUAAAGGCCCACCAAGGCGACGAUCCGUAGCUGGUCUGAGGGGAUGAUCAGCCACACUGGAACUGAGACACGGUCCAGACUCCUACGGGAGGCAGCAGUGGGGAAUAUUGGACAAUGGGCGCAAGCCUGAUCCAGCCAUACCGCGUGGGUGAAGAAGGCCUUCGGGUUGUAAAGCCCUUUUGUUGGGAAAGAAAAGCAGCAGGUUAAUACCCCGCUGUUCUGACGGUACCCAAAGAAUAAGCACCGGCUAACUUCGUG
rnacentral:rRNA from 1 species